rnacentral:lncRNA from 1 species
CCUGGCAUUUAAUAACGAACACCAGAAAAAGCAGUAAAACUGAGUUCUGAAUGGCAUCUUCAAUCUUCAGGCCCCCGGCCCUCCAGGAGAAACCCCAUGUCCUCCAGCCGCCAAGAUAUCCG